rnacentral:miRNA from 1 species
AUAUGACUCACCUGAGAUGUUGUUAAAAUGCAGAUUCUAAUUGCAUAGGUCUGGGUGGUGUCUGAGAUGCUGCAUUUCCAACAAAUUCCCAAGUGCUGCUGAU